AUUGAACGCUGGUGGCAUGCCUAACACAUGCAAGUCGAACGGCAGCACGAUGUGUAGCAAUACACAUGGGUGGCGAGUGGCGGACGGGUGAGUAGAAGUAGGGAUCUGCCUUAUAGAUUGGGAUAACUUGGGGAAACUCGAGCUAAUACCGGAUAAGCACUACGGUGGAAAGCAUGGGACCGAAAGGCCAUGCGCUAUAAGAUGAACCUACGUCGGAUUAGCUAGUUGGUUAGGUAAAGGCUGACCAAGGCGAAGAUCCGUAGCUGGUCUGAGAGGAUGAUCAGCCACACUGGGACUGAGACACGGCCCAGACUCCUACGGGAGGCAGCAGUGGGGAAUAUUGGACAAUGGGGCAACCCUGAUCCAGCGAUGCCGCGUGUGCGAAGAAGGCCUGCGGGUUGUAAA
rnacentral:rRNA from 1 species